rnacentral:rRNA from 1 species
AGGGGUGACUACUCCAUCUCAGCGUGUCCUGUCUUGGGGGAUAUCCCUGGUCCCCCCACAUCCUUACCACAGACACACGACGGAGGAAAGGGGGGGAUCUUGUGGCCUCCCGCUACUGGGGGGGUCAAUGGCUGAUUAGCUAGUUGGUGGGGUAAAGGCCGACCGGGGGGACGAUCUGCUGGCACUGAAGAGGACCCCCAACUACUCCGGGACUGAGACACGGGCCAUAUUGCUCCAUGAGGGCGCGCCGGGGACUUUCGGACAAUGUGAGCGACCCUGAUCCAACGGUGGCACGUGUCUGACACAGGUCAUCAUAUUGUAAAGCACUUUAGAACAAAAACCAACUGACUUCGUUCAUACCCGCGGCGUAUUACGGAAGCGGAUAGAUUAGCUCGGAUUAACUGGGUGCCAACAACAGGUGGGUUACUUAUUGUGCCAGGGGUGAUAUCACAUUACUGGGCCUAAAGCAUGGCCUUGCAGUCCGCUAAUACUGAUUUUAAACCACCGGACUUUAACUUCGAAACCGCAUUUGUAACUG